rnacentral:misc_RNA from 1 species
UCCGGCUUAUCACCGGCAGUCCCAUUAGAGUGCCCAACUAAAUGAUGGCAACUAAUGGCGAGGGUUGCGCUCGUUGCGGGACUUAACCCAACAUCUCACGACACGAGCUGACGACAGCCAUGCAGCACCUGUCACCGGUCCAGCCGAACUGAAGGACUCCAUCUCUGGUGUCCGCGACCGGGAUGUCAAGGGUAGGUAAGGUUUUUCGCGUUGCAUCGAAUUAAUCCACAUAAUCCACCGCUUGUGCGGGUCCCCGUCAAUUCCUUUGAGUUUUAACCUUGCGGCCGUACUCCCCAGGCGGGGUACUUAAUGCGUUAGCGUCGGCACUGCGAGUGUUAAGCUCACAACACCUAGUACCCAUCGUUUACGGCGUGGACUAC